rnacentral:rRNA from 1 species
AGAGUUUGAUCCUGGCUCAGAUUGAACGCUGGCGGCAUGCCUUACACAUGCAAGUCGAACGGUAACAGCUCUUCGGAGGCUGACGAGUGGCGAACGGGUGAGUAAUACAUCGGAACGUGCCCGAUCGUGGGGGAUAACGGAGCGAAAGCUUUGCUAAUACCGCAUACGAUCUACGGAUGAAAGCAGGGGACCCUCGGGCCUUGCGCGAACGGAGCGGCCGAUGGCAGAUUAGGUAGUUGGUGGGAUAAAAGCUUACCAAGCCGACGAUCUGUAGCUGGUCUGAGAGGACGACCAGCCACACUGGGACUGAGACACGGUCCAGACUCCUACGGGAGGCAGCAGUGGGGAAUUUUGGACAAUGGGCGCAAGCCUGAUCCAGCCAUGCCGCGUGAGUGAAGAAGGCCUUCGGGUUGUAAAGCUCUUUCAGCCGGGAAGAAAACGCAUGGGUUAAUACCCUGUGUGGAUGACGGUACCGGAAUAAGAAGCACCGGCUAACUACGUGCCAGCAGCCGCGGUAAUACGUAGGGUGCGAGCGUUAAUCGGAAUUACUGGGCGUAAAGCGUGCGCAGGCGGUUUGUUAAGAUAGGCGUGAAAUCCCCGGGCUCAACCUGGGAACUGCGUUUAUGACUGGCAGGCUAGAGUAUGGCAGAGGGGGGUGGAAUUCCACGUGUAGCAGUGAAAUGCGUAGAGAUGUGGAGGAACACCGAUGGCGAAGGCAGCCCCCUGGGCCAAUACUGACGCUCAUGCACGAAAGCGUGGGUAGCAAACAGGAUUAGAUACCCUGGUAGUCC